CACGUCUUGUUUUCAUCUUCUUAGAUCU
rnacentral:snRNA from 1 species